AGAGUUUGAUCCUGGCUCAGGACGAACGCUGGCGGCGCGCUUAACACAUGCAAGUCGAGCGAUGAAAUUUUGACAGAUCCCUUCGGGGUGAAGAUAAAAUGGAUUAGCGGCGGACGGGUGAGUAACACGUGAGUAACCUGCCUUAGACAUUGGGAUAGCCUCGGGAAACCGGGAUUAAUACCGAAUAAAAUCACAGAUACACAUGUAUCCAUGAUCAAAACUCCGGUGGUCUAAGAUGGACUCGCGUCCCAUUAGCUAGUUGGUGAGGUAACGGCCCACCAAGGCGACGAUGGGUAGCCGGCCUGAGAGGGUGAACGGCCACAUUGGAACUGAGAAACGGUCCAAACUCCUACGGGAGGCAGCAGUGGGGAAUAUUGCACAAUGGAGGGAACUCUGAUGCAGCGACGCCGCGUGAACGAAGAAGGCUUUCGAGUCGUAAAGUUCUUUUAUAUGGGAAGAUAAUGACGGUACCAUAAGAAAAAGCCCCGGCUAACUACGUGCCAGCAGCCGCGGUAAUACGUAGGGGGCUAGCGUUGUCCGGAAUCACUGGGCGUAAAGGGUUCGCAGGCGGAAAUGCAAGUCAGGUGUAAAAGGCAGUAGCUUAACUACUGUAAGCAUUUGAAACUGCAUAUCUUGAGAAGAGUAGAGGUAAGUGGAAUUUUUAGUGUAGCGGUGAAAUGCGUAGAUAUUAAAAAGAAUACCGGUGGCGAAGGCGACUUACUGGGCUCAUUCUGACGCUGAGGAACGAAAGCGUGGGUAGCAAACAGGAUUAGAUACCCUGGUAGUCCACGCCGUAAACGAUGAGUGCUAGGUGUCGGUAUAAAUCGGUGCCGCAGUUAACACAAUAAGCACUCCGCCUGGGGAGUACGUGCGCAAGCAUGAAACUCAAAGGAAUUGACGGGGACCCGCACAAGCAGCGGAGCAUGUGGUUUAAUUCGAAGCAACGCGAAGAACCUUACCAGGGCUUGACAU
rnacentral:rRNA from 1 species